rnacentral:miRNA from 1 species
ACUGUAAGUUAUGCAGGAAUUUUUGACUGCACAGAGGACUGGUGUCCCUAACCCUGUGUUGUUCAAGGGUCAAAUGUAUUU